rnacentral:lncRNA from 1 species
AGAGUGAAGGAGCAAAGGGGACUCGGCCGCCAUGUUAGGAGUACUGGGACGAUUCCGCGGAGCCGGGCAGAGGUUUUAGGGGAAUGAUUAACAAAGGCGUCCGAAGAAAUCGUUGUUGGAAGGUGACCAAGGUGGAAAGAGACGUUGCUUUGGCCCUGCAAGUAAGAAGAGAGAGGGAAUAGCCUGAAGGAGUAACACUAAAUUUAAAAUGACACUUUUUUACCAACCAGCGAAAGCAGAUGUUCAAAGGGGAUAUUGGCCAGGUGCGGUCGCUCACGCCUUUAAUCCCAGCACUUUGGGGGCAGACGCGGGGAGAUAGCGUGAUUCUAGGAGUUCAACCCCAGCCUGGGCAACAUGCGGAGACCCCGUACCGUCUCUACAAAAACAUUAAACAAAAAAAUUAGCUGGGCAUGGUGGUGUACCCCUGUAGUUGCAGCUACACUAGAGGCUGAGGUGGGAGGAUCGCUUGAGCCCGGGAUGUUGAGGCUGCAGUGAGCCUCGAUCCUACCACUGUGCUCCAGCCUGGGCGACAGCAAGCCCGUGUCUCAGAAAAGGCGGGAGGGGUGGGAUAUUAUUGAUGAUAGGCCUUCUGACGUCUGGCAAUAGAUUCCAGAGUAACAUCGGUCAUGGAUAAAUUUUUUUUUUAACUAAGUGACUGAAACCAAAGUUAAUUGUCUUUUGAGUGAUUUUGCACAGUAUCUCAAAAUGAACUGUACUUUUUUUCUUGUGUCACUGAAACAGUGCUGUGUGUUCUUUUUCAGAGUCUGUCACACUAAGAUGAGAAAUGUCCUUUCUUCCUGAAGGUGUCUGAUGUGUAAAAAUAUGAUAUACUUUGUGCUGUUUCCUCCCUUCCCUUUUGCAUAUUAUUCUGAAACAACAUUAACUAGUUACUUUGCGUCAUUGAAGGUAUGCACUUCCCCUCUAUGUUAGGAGUGAAUAAAAUUAAAAAUAGAUCCUUAUAACAAAGAAAGGCAGAUAGAAUGAUUAAAAAUGACCAAAACAUGUUAGAAACAGUCUCUCAGGUGUAUGCAGAUGGUAAUUACAAAAAUACUUUUUCAAAAAAUGA